GACUGCUCCUGUGGCCUUGUGGUUAGAGCGUUUGCCUCAGAUGCACGAGGUCGUGGGUUCAAUUCCCCGUCGAGUCA